rnacentral:rRNA from 1 species
UACGGGGGGGGCAAGCGUUGUUCGGAAUUACUGGGCGUAAAGGGCUCGUAGGCGGCCAACUAAGUCAGACGUGAAAUCCCUCAGCUUAACUGGGGAACUGCGUCCGAUACUGGAUGGCUUGAGUUUGGGAGAGGGAUGCGGAAUUCCAGGUGUAGCGGUGAAAUGCGUAGAUAUCUGGAGGAACACCGGUGGCGAAGGCGGCAUCCUGGACCAACACUGACACUGAGACGCGAAAGCGUGGGGAGCGAACAGG